rnacentral:rRNA from 1 species
AUUGAACGCUGGCGGCAGGCUUAACACAUGCAAGUCGAACGAGUGGCGGACGGGUGAGUAAUGCUUGGGAAUCUGGCUUAUGGAGGGGGAUAACGACGGGAAACUGUCGCUAAUACCGCGUACCAUAGGAUGAGCCCAAGUGGGAUUAGGUAGUUGGUGGGGUAAUGGCCUACCAAGCCGACGAUCUCUAGCGGGUCUGAGAGGAUGAACGGCCACAUUGGGACUGAGACACGGCCCAGACUCCUACGGGAGGCAGCAGUAGGGAAUCUUCGGCAAUGGACGAAAGUCUGACCGAGCAACGCCGCGUGUCUGAAGAAGGCCUUCGGGUUGUAAAGGACUUUUGUCAGGGAAGCGGUACCUGAAGAAUAAGCACCGGCUAACUACGUGCCAGCAGCCGCGGUAAUAC